rnacentral:rRNA from 1 species
AUUGAACGCUGGCGGCAUGCUUUACACAUGCAAGUCGAACGGUAACAGGUUAAGCUGACGAGUGGCGAACGGGUGAGUAAUGCAUCGGAACGUGCCCGGUCGUGGGGGAUAACGCAGCGAAAGCUGCGCUAAUACCGCAUACGAUCUGAGGAUGAAAGCGGGGGACCGUAAGGCCUCGCGCGAUCGGAGCGGCCGAUGUCAGAUUAGGUAGUUGGUGGGGUAAAGGCCCACCAAGCCGACGAUCUGUAGCUGGUCUGAGAGGACGACCAGCCACACUGGGACUGGGACACGGCCCAGACUCCGACGGGAGGCAGCAGUGGGGAAUUGUGGACAAUGGGCGAAAGCCUGAUCCAGCAAUGCCGCGUGCAGGAAGAAGGCCUUCGGGUUGUAAACUGCUUUUGUACGGAGCGAAAAGGUCCUUUCUAAUACAAGGGGCUCAUGACGGUACCGUAAGAAUAAGCACCGGCUAACUACGUGCCAGCCGCCGCAGUAA